rnacentral:rRNA from 1 species
ACCGCCGGCUAACUCUGUGCCAGCAGCCGCGGUAAUACAGAGGGUGCGAGCGUUAAUCGGAUUUACUGGGCGUAAAGCGUGCGUAGGCGGCUGAUUAAGUCGGAUGUGAAAUCCCUGAGCUUAACUUAGGAAUUGCAUUCGAUACUGGUCAGCUAGAGUAUGGGAGAGGAUGGUAGAAUUCCAGGUGUAGCGGUGAAAUGCGUAGAGAUCUGGAGGAAUACCGAUGGCGAAGGCAGCCAUCUGGCCUAAUACUGACGCUGAGGUACGAAAGCAUGGGGAGCAAACAGGAUUAGAUACCCUGGUAGUCCAUGCCGUAAACGAUGUCUACUAGCCGUUGGGGCCUUUGAGGCUUUAGUGGCGCAGCUAACGCGAUAAGUAGACCGCCUGGGGAGUACGGUCGCAAGACUAAAACUCAAAUGAAUUGACGGGGGCCCGCACAAGCGGUGGAGCAUGUGGUUUAAUUCGAUGCACCGCGAAGAACCUUACCUGGGCUUGACAUACUAGAAACUUUCAGAGAUGAUUGGUGCCU